rnacentral:rRNA from 1 species
GAUGAACGCUGGCGGCGUGCUUAACACAUGCCAGUCGAACGAUGAAGCCCAGCUUGCUGGGUGGAUUAGUGGCGAACGGGUGAGUAACACGUGAGUAACCUGCCCUUAACUCUGGGAUAAGCCUGGGAAACUGGGUCUAAUACCGGAUAGGAGCGUCCACCGCAUGGUGGGUGUUGGAAAGAUUUAUCGGUUUUGGAUGGACUCGCGGCCUAUCAGCUUGUUGGUGAGGUAAUGGCUCACCAAGGCGACGACGGGUAGCCGGCCUGAGAGGGUGACCGGCCACACUGGGACUGAGACACGGCCCAGACUCCUACGGGAGGCAGCAGUGGGGAAUAUUGCACAAUGGGCGAAAGCCUGAUGCAGCGACGCCGCGUGAGGGAUGACGGCCUUCGGGUGGUAAACCUCUUUCAGUAGGGAAGAAGCGAAAGUGACGGUACCUGCAGAAGAAGCACCGGCUAACUACGUG